rnacentral:rRNA from 1 species
AGAGUUUGAUCCUGGCUCAGAUUGAACGCUGGCGGCAUGCCUAACACAUGCAAGUCGAACGGAAACAGGACGCUGGGAUCUCUUCGGAGUGAACUUGUCGCUGUCGAGUGGCGGACGGGUGAGUAAUGCAUAGGAAAUUGCCUUGAAGUGGGGGAUAGCCCGGAGAAAUCCGGAUUAAUACCGCAUGCGCUCUACGGAGCAAAGCAGGCCUCUGAUCUAAGCUUGCGCUUUGAGAUAUGCCUAUGUCGGAUUAGCUAGUUGGUAGGGUAAAGGCCUACCAAGGCGACUAUCCGUAGCUGGUUUGAGAGGAUGAUCAGCCACACUGGGACUGAGAUACGGCCCAGACUCCUACGGGAGGCAGCAGUGGGGAAUAUUGGACAAUGGGCGCAAGCCUGAUCCAGCAAUGCCGCGUGUGUGAAGAAGGCCUGCGGGUUGUAAAGCACUUUUAUCGGGAAAGAAAAUCUCAGGGUUAAUACCCCUGGGCCUUGACGGUACCCGAAGAAUAAGCACCGGCUAACUCAGUGCCAGCAGCCGCGGUAAUACUGAGGGUGCAAGCGUUAAUCGGAAUUACUGGGCGUAAAGCGAGUGUAGGCGGCUGCGUAAGUCGGAUGUGAAAGCCCCGGGCUCAACCUGGGAAUUGCAUUCGAUACUGCGCGGCUUGAGUCUGAUAGA